rnacentral:rRNA from 1 species
UUCCGGUUGAUCCUGCCGGACCUGACUGCUAUCGGAUUGAUACUAAGCCAUGCGAGUCAUUGUAGUAAUACAAGGCAGACGGCUCAGUAACGCGUAGUCAACCUGCCCUAUGGACGGGGAUAACCUCGGGAAACUGAGAAUAAUACCCGAUAGAACAUUAUGCCUGGAAUGGUUUAUGUUUCAAAUAAUUUAUUGCCGUAGGAUGGGACUGCGGCCUAUCAGUUUGUUGGUGAGGUAAUGGCCCACCAAGACUAUUGCAGGUACGGGCUCUGAGAGGAGUAGCCCGGAGAUGGGUACUGAGACACGGACCCAGGCCCUAUGGGGCGCAGCAGGCGAGAAAACUUUGCAAUGUGCGAAAGCACGACAAGGUUAAUCCGAGUGGUUUCUGCUAAAGGAACCUUUUGUCAGUCCUAGAAACACUGAUGAAUAAGGGGUGGGCAAGUUCUGGUGUCAGCCGCCGCGGUAAAACCAGCACCUCAAGUGGUCAGGAUGAUUAUUGGGCCUAAAGCAUCCGUAGCCUGCUUUGUAAGUUUUCGGUUAAAUCCAUACGCUCAACGUAUGGGCUGCCGGGAAUACUGCAAAGCUAGGGAGUGGGAGAGGUAGACGGUACUCGGUAGGAAGGGGUAAAAUCCUUUGAUCUAUUGAUGACCACCUGUGGCGAAGGCGGUCUACCAGAACACGUCCGACGGUGAGGGAUGAAAGCUGGGGGAGCAAACCGGAUUAGAUACCCGGGUAGUCCCAGCUGUAAACUAUGCAAACUCAGUGAUGCAUUGGCUUGAUGCCAAUGCAGUGCUGCAGGGAAGCCGUUAAGUUUGCCGCCUGGGAAGUACGUACGCAAGUAUGAAACUUAAAGGAAUUGGCGGGGGAGCA